AAUUGAAGACGAGAAAUAGAUUCAAGAUCUAAAACUUCUCUCUUUUCUCCUCUUUCUCUCUGAAACUAGAUUGGGAACCAUCACAACCAAAACCAAUUUGUUUGUCUCUUCUUUCACUCUCGAUCUCUCUCGAUCCCUCUGAGUCUUAAUUCCUCUCAGUCUCAACUCUGGAUCUCGGUCGUCAAUUUCAUCGAUCUACAAAUCUCUCUUAAUUGUUUCUACUUUCAAUUUCACUUGUCAAUGGAUGGAUGGUGGAGGAGGGUUUUGCAACAGUACAAUGCCAUUUCAAUACAGCUGCAACUGCCGUGAAGGUUACAACAAUAUUAUGAACAUAACUACAUUUCCUUGCUUGAAACAAUGUGCAUUUGGAAUGGACUGUUUGAAUCUUGGGAUUCCUUAGUCAAACGCAUCAUCGUUUUGUCCACCUGCUCUACCUGAUAGCAGCAAGAAUCAAGAGAAAUCAUGGGGUUCUAGACACUAAUGGAAGGAUGUGGAACUAAGCUUUACACUCAAAGAUCAUGCAGCAGUUCUCACAUUGUAUUUGAUUUGGUACGGUUGUGAGAUGGAACUGACGGCAUAAUCUUUGUGUGGACGAAGCUCAAAGGAACAAUGCACUUGUUGGAGCUCACAAAGUCACAUGGUUCAACAAAUCAAGAAACCUUCAAGCUGUUAAAAGAUUACAAUUUGUUGUCUCCGUUAAUUUAAUUCUUUUGAUAUACCAUUUAUUGAUUUUGAUAUAUACGUAAAAAUUUCUUUGUAAAAGUCAAGUUUAGUUAUAUAUCAAUAAAGAAAAAAAUACAACAAA